CUAGAGAAGUACACCGUGUAAACAAAAGUUGUACGCAUCAAAGAAUCGAGCCAAUGAUACCUUGGUACACUACUAUAGAUCUAGAUCUGUGUACACAUAAACAUAAAGAAAGAAAUAAAACAAAAGAAAGAAUCGCUCCUAAAUAUUGGCUGAUUAAGUGAUAAGACACGACUUGUAAAUAUUGAACAAAAAAAAAUGUAGUGGAGUGGAUACCUUUUCA